rnacentral:lncRNA from 1 species
GGUGCCGGCGUGGUCCAGCUCCACUAGGGCUGUCAGACCGACCGGUGCUAGGCUGGUUGGUGCUCCUGGGGCUGGAGUAAAAGGUGGACUGAGAAAAUGGGGUGUGCUAUAUAGAAAGAAACACCUGUUUCGUCAUCCCGAGGAUCCACGGUUUUCACGCAAGGGACAAAAUCUUACCGUCUGUUGUAACGGUAUCAGAAAUAAUUGUGUACUUCAUCUUCCGCACCAACUUUGUACUCAGUGCUUUACGCAGCACAUGCCGGGCUUUGCAACAAGUCACAUGAGGAAAAGGGCAGAAGGCAAACAUGAGGAAAAGCAGCCCCAGACAGACUCCUUGCCUGGACUUUCUCAGCCUUGGGGAAAGAAUGGAGGACUUCAGCACACAGGUAAGCUGAAGGAGUGUAUUUACUUUAACUUGCAAUGUUAAAAUACAGUCAGCUGAUAUUUCCCAAAGUAAGAAGGCUCUGAUCCAUUUCCUUAACUUGGAAGGCAGCGUGGCCCCUUUGUGGAACCUGAUAGUGAUAGCUGAUGAGUAGGAGCAUGACCACAUGGCUUCAGAAAGAGCUUCCCACCACAAAGGGGUGAUCCUCCUCACCUUCAUCUUCUGAGGAGGAAUUGUUCCAAGGUGUGAGGAGGGAGAGAGGGUCAGUAGAGCAGGAUAAACAUACUAGUUGCCUGCCUCUUCUUAUGAAAGGAAGUGGGGGAGUUCCCAUUGUGGCUCAUCAGGAUAAGGACCAAAAACUAUCUCUAUGAGGAUGUGGGCUUGAUCCCUGGCCUUGGUUAGUGGGUUAAGGAUCUGGUAUUACUGCAAGCUACUGUGUAAAUGGCAGAUGCAGCACUGAUCUGGUGUUGCUGUGGCUGUGGUGUUGGCUGGCAGCUGCAGCUCCUAUUCAGUCCCUAGCCUGGGAACUUCCAUAUGCUGUAGGUGUAGCCCUAAAAAGGAGGGGGGAAAAAAAAGCAAGCAAAUGGAAUUUAGGGAUGAAUUCUACUAUUUUCCUUCAAGAUGAGUUUGUGUCAAAAGAUAAGAACAGAGAACAUUAACCUAAACCAAGGCGUUACCUCAGCAUAAUUGGUGCAAAAAUAUCUUUGCCCAAUUUCAUUAUAGUGUUGGGGAUGAGAAUGUGGUCUCUGAGAGGGGAGGUCAGACUGCCUGAGGUUGAAUUCCAAGCUCAAAAGUUGCAGCAGUGUGAACCUGGGCUUUCUUUGGUUCCCUCAUUGGUAAAAGGGGAGUAGUCAUAGUAUUAAAUAAUAAUAAUGGUAACAACAUGUACUCACUUCAUAGGACUGAUAUGUGCAUUAAAUGAGAUGAUGCAUGGAAAACCCUUAGUACAGUGCCUGAUGCUUAAAUGGUUACCACAUAGAAAGUGUUCAAUAAAUGUCAGCUUUUAUCACUGUUAUUAUAGCAAUAACCCCCACUCUGGUAGUGGAGCACGAGUACAGUGGGGGACUGAAGAAAGGGAAGGAUGAAAACCCAAGUAAGACUUCUCAUUCCUCUCUCUCCGGUUAUAGCCACUGGGGUAUAAUGUGAUCUAUAAACUCUUCUGUCUGUUGACAUGCCAGCAAAUGAUACGUCUCUCUGAUCUACUUAGAUUUUCAAGCUUAAUGUAAGGGCCCAGGUGCUGGCAGCUCGGAGCAGAGAGAGAGCUGGGGGCUGGGGGCUGUCCUGGCCUUUACAAACCAUUGCCACUCUAAUAAAUAAAGCAUUCACUCAGAGAGUCUGAGAGCUGGGGAGCCACAUAGCGUGCAAAUCCAGAUCAGUGGCUGAGCUUCUUCCAGGUUGAAGCUAAUCAUAACUGACAUGUUAGAGUAAAACUACUUUAUAAAAUCAAUAUUAAAUUUACAACCUUUGACAUCCUGGGACAUCAAAGAUAAGGGGGAAAUAAGCCAUAGAGUAAACAGUCCUCCAGCUAUGCCAGCUGCUCAAGGAGGUGGGGAGAUGUGGGAAACCAGAAGCCCAAAUCAUACACUAUUAGUCUUGUUUUUAUGUCAAUAUCUUGACAUCAAUAAAAACAUUAAAAAAAAAAUCACACAAACAUUUACACACAGCUAAGAAAGGGAAGCAACAAGGAGAGCUUCACCAGCCCAUCAGACUACCAGAAUCAUUCCAGAGUGAAAUAGUUAGAUUCCUUCUCUGACAAUGAGACUUGAUUUUUCUGGACAGUAGAAUGCUGCAAUUAUGGGGCAAACAUCAUUUUAUGAGGCUGGAAAAUCCCCUGCUGAAAAUCCUAACCUAUCUAGCUAGGGACUAUGCUCUAAUAAAAACCUGCACCUCUCUGGCAGGUCCACCGUGUAGGCACUAGGAUUCAAAUAUAGUUGCAAAGGACACUUGGAAGAAGAGUGAAACUGUAAAGGUCAUCACGAGGUGAAGAAUGUGUUUCUCUGAGUGCUCCUCAGUGAGUACUAGAUCUCAGCUGCUCAAGUCUGGUUAGGAUUCCUAUGUAUGGAAAAGAGAUUUAACUUUUGACCUCUAGAGGCAGAAUUGCCAUAAAUCCUACCAGGAAGAGUGGGCAGUGGCUGAAGACCCUGUAACAUCCAGCAUGGGCAAGAUGAUGAAGGGCCUUUUAGUCUUUUGCAUCAGAAGCAUUUUGUCUCAAGGACUGGUCACAGAACUGUCUUACCUCCACUGUGAGUCUGAGUACCUUGAGUCCAUUUUAUAUAAAAUACCAAGUGCUCUAGGAAAGGUGGGGCAAAGAAGACAAGGCUGGGUGGCUCUCCUGGUCUAAGCAGACUCUUCUGUAGCACUUCCUCUUUUGGAAGAACAGCUCAAAUGUUUGCCUGGGCUCACCUGCACUCAGUGGUGAAUUUGUAUUGAAUUCAGUGUUGAAUUCAGUAUUUCCAUCUAUGAAAACUUUGAGGGGAAAGCAACAGUGCCGUUCUCUCCCCUCCUUGUCUCCCAUCUCACCCUCAGAAGUGAUGAAUUUGACCCUCUCUGCUUUGUGGCCAUUGUGAGGUUGUAGUGGUGGUUUUUUUUUUUUUUUUUUGGCAGAGCCUUUGGAUUUUGUAUGGUCCUAUAAUCAGGGACAGGCACAUUAAGAUCAAACCCAUCAGUAACAUUCAGUUUCCUUCUCCUUCCUGAAUG